UGUUUCAUCAAACUGAAUUAGUUACAGAUUGACCUACACUCUGGGAAAACAGGGCUCAAUGCAUGUGUGUAGUGAGGUCUGGGAAAACAGGGCUCAAUGCAUGUGAGUAGUGAGGUCCCAUAUAAGGGAAAACAGGGUUCAAUGCAUGUGAGUAGUGAGGUCCCAUAUAAGGGAAAACAGGGCUCAAUGCAUGUGAGUAGUGAGGUCUGGGAAAACAGGGCUCAAUGCAUGUGAGUAGUGAGGUCCCAUAUAAGGGAAAACACGGCUCAAUGCAUGUGAGUAGUGAGGUCCCAUAUAAGGGAAAACAGGGCUCAAUGCAUGUGAGUAGUGAGGUCCCAUAUAAGGGAAAACAGGGCUCAAUGCAUGUGAGUAGUGAGGUCUGGGAAAACAGGGUUCAAUGCAUGUGAGUAGUGAGGUCCCAUAUAAGGGAAAACAGGGCUCAAUGCAUGUGAGUAGUGAGGUCUGGGAAAACAGGGUUCAAUGCAUGUGAGUAGUGAGGUCCCAUAUAAGGGAAAACAGGGCUCAAUGCAUGUGAGUAGUGAGGUCUGGGAAAACAGGGUUCAAUGCAUGUGAGUAGUGAGGUCCCAUAUAAGGGAAAACAGGGCUCAAUGCAUGUGAGU